GGAGGAAUGGCAGAGCUGGUUUAAUGCACUAGUCUUGAAAACUAGCGUGCGGCAACGUACCGGGGGUUCGAAUCCCUCUUCCUCCG
rnacentral:tRNA from 1 species